rnacentral:misc_RNA from 1 species
CGCACAUUGCGCCCUUUGGUAUUCCGGGGGGCAUGCCUGUUCGAGCGUCAUUUAAACUAUCAAGCGCAGCUUGGCCUUGGACGUCGGUGCUGACACCGGUCCAAAACUCUCGUGUGGCGGUACUGUCUGGCUCUAAGCGUAGCAAGAAUCUUCCCUCGCUUUAAGGGCUCCGGCAGGACUGCCAGGUAACCUUUUACCUAAAGUUUGACCUCGGAUCAGGUAGGGAUACCCGCUGAACUUAA